UCUCAUCUUCUCCCUAACCUGUUUUUUCGAUUCUUACCUCAAUCGACCAUAUCUCAUGACAUGGGAACUGCUGAGUUCAAAAAAUCUAUGGUUCGUUGUCAGAACUACAAGGUGAAAACGAAGAUUCAAGUUUAUUUGAGAUCCACCUAUGAAGAUUCAGAAACAGUUGAAGGCGACCAACGGUAUGGUUCGUUCAUAAUUAAUCGCUCGGAUCCGGCCAUGGGGAAAGAUCGAACAACAUAUGUGUUAUAGGAUACAAUGGGAAUCGGCUCAUAGGUGUGAAGGGUGGAAAUCACGGUCUGAUGAAGAGACUGGAAAGGUUCACGGAUCAUUGGAUCAUGCUGGAAAAGUG